UGUUUCAAUAAAAUUGCUAAGGCCAGAGACAAUACAUAAACAUAUUAGACUAUUCAUGACACAUAUCACGGUGGACAGUGUCUGUAUCCUUAUUACAAGCAGCGAGAGAUGCUUGUCACCACACACACGCGUGCACAGAUGCACGACAUACAUAUAGUUGAGACCAACAAAUGGUUGCCCCAUAUGGUGAACAAUUUAUUGGAGAUAAACAUUAACAUAACUUGGCCAUAGCUUGAAGCAUAGCAACAUAUGCCUAUGAAUGGCAUUCAUACUGGUAGCAAUGCAAUCAUAUCGUUUUAGGCUUGUCCAGCUUCUUCCAUCUUAGCAAGCGCUCCCAUUUCUUCCAUCUUAGCAACAACUGUCAAAUUGAGAUAUGAAAAUCCCAUUAGCACAUGAGUUAAUUUUGCACUGGAAAUAGAGUACAAGAUGUCUUCAUGAUGUAAGUAACAUGCCUGAAGUUGUGAGAUGGGAAGUGAAGUCAACAAAUUACAUUAAUGGAAAUGCAUGGAAGGCCACGCAUGCAUACGUAUUAGUCCACGAUAUGCUACAAAGCCUUGUAUGUACAUAUAACAAAUUAAAUGCAUUGAAUAGAGUGAGUUUACUGAAUUUACCAGAAUCGGACAGAACACAUGGGAAACAGCAAGUGUUCUUGCAGAGUGAGUCGGAGCCACCUGCAGUAAUACAAGCAAAACAACAUGCUUUUGCCCGGGCGGAUACGCAGCAGCUGCACUGUGCCGCGGUGGCCGGGUUAACAUCGAGGCUCAAGAUGACCAGGCACAUGAUCACCAUCAAAGCGGUAGUCCUCUUUCCCUCCAUUGCCUCCUCUUGCUGCUACCUUCCUUGGUUACCUAGCUAAGUUUAUUGGUUUUGUGUUGAGAGGUGAUUCUUGAAUGGAUGUUGCCGGCUGCAAUUUAUAGGCAGCUGCGCUAUGUGAUGAUAUGGACAAGGUGCAAAUGGGUGGUCCAAUGGCAAGGAAAGGGGGUAUUCUGCUUGACAUUGGCAUCAGACAAAGCCCAAUGGCAACUGCUGACACGCGAUUAAAAUCAGAUCCACAUCUUAUCCAGCCAUUCACUAAUAAUUAAACUAAACCCACGCGGUCCGCGAGAUGCAGCGUCCAUGCAUACACUUCCCGCCAAACAAUAGGAAAAAUUAGAAUUCAGAGAUAGUAGUGUGCCAGCAGCUGCUUGCAUGAAACACGGCAAUCAGUGGUGCUUGGACGGCAAGUAGUGUGGUGUACAAGCUUAAAGCGGCAGUGAGUCACGUUGGUGUAACAAGCAGUACAUCAGCUGGAAGAUUGAUAUGUCUAUUGCCCACGCAGCAUAGCAUUUUAUUAUGAUACAUUGAGUUAUGUCAUAUUGUUACUUUAAGUUAUUUUUUAAGUAUUAGUUGUAGACAAUUUAGUUGCAAAUUUAAGCGGUUAUUUUAAAUUAUUUUUUAUAAUGGAAUAAGUGGGUAAUUUAGAUGAAGAUUAGGGGGUUACUUGUAGCACUACAUGAAGGCGCUGAGGUGGGNNNNNNNNNNNNNNNNNNNNNNNNNNNNNNNNNNNNNNNNNNNNNNNNNNNNNNNNNNNNNNNNNNNNNNNNNNNNNNNNNNNNNNNNNNNNNNNNNNNNUCUUAUGGAUAGGUGGGUAAUUUUUUUAGAAAAUAUAAUAGAUCCAAUGGCUACGAUGAUUUGAGUCUAAUGAUUGAUGGCAAGAUGUUUUUCUUGUUUGUGGGAAUUUUAAAUAUUUCUCUUUUUUUUAGAGUGUCCACCUAGAAUGCUAGGUGGUUUCACUUGGAGACUUCAAAAGGAGCUUCCAAAUUAGUAAUAGUAAGAUUUUCUCAAAAGAGACUUGAUUCUACCACUAUAACUUGAUUGGCCGCCCCGGCCUCUACCUUUGCCUCCAUUUGACUAUUUGAGUUGGCUGUCAACGAUUCACGGUGCUGGCAACAUUACGUUUGAUCCAAAUGCCACUACUCAUGUGCGCCAGCUGUAUUCUACCAAGUGGCAUGUGGGAAUGCCAUGAUGCAUGUGCAGUAACAGCGUGCACAUCUUGUAGGAUUCGCACCUCGUUUUCACUAUUGUAUCAUCUUAGCGAUUAGGAGCGAAAUGUGCUUGGGGGUUGCAAUUGGGAUAUAGACCUUAUUCUCGAAGAGAAUCUUAAAAGCUUACAUUCGCCCCCUCGGUCGCCUGUGUUCCGAUCCUUCACCUAUAAAUUAGGAGUAGCAGGUAGUAAGUGGCAGGUUAGAUAAGUACUCGUUGAUGAAUGUUGACUUGGCGUGAUUGGCUCUGCUAUUUUCACGAAGAUGCCAAUAUUGAAAGCACAUCCACCAUUUCUGCGGAUGUGAGGGAUGAACUAAUUAAUUGUUUCUUGUCCAUUAUUGCACCGUACCUCCCAUUUUCCCGUUUUCCAAACAAUUAAAGGUACCCUUACGUUACGCUUGAUCCAAAUGCCACCACUCAUGUGCGCAAGUGGCAUGUGGUAAUGCCAUGAUGCAAGUGCAGUAACAGCGUGUACAUCUUGCAUGAUUCGCGCCUCGUUUUCACUAUUGUAAUCUAUAAAGAAACAAACAAAAAACAAAAUGAUGGAUGGAUCAGCUCGGGAUCCAAUAAUCGAGAGGAAUUCAAGGAAAAAGAAAAAUUUGGGAUCACGUGUGCGGAUCCUAAUAACAAUAUAUAGUAGGACAUCUCCAUGCUCACCUAGUAGCCACUACUAGUGCGCCGGCCCAGUUGGCGCUAAGACAUCGUACGUGCAUUAAGGGGGUGUUUGAUACUGGAUGCUAAACUUUAGCAGUGUCACAUCGGAUGUUCGGAUGCUAAUUAGGAGGACUAAACAUGAGCUAAUUAUAAAACUAAUUGCAGAACCCCUGUGCUACUUCGCGAGAUGAAUCUAUUAAGGCUAAUUCAUCCAUCAUUAUCAAAUGGUUACUGUAGCACCACAUUAUCAAAUUAUGGACUAAUUAGGCUUAAUAGAUUCAUCUCGCGAAUUAAACUCCAUUUGUGCAAUUAGUUUUGUAAUUAGUCUAUGUUUAAUACUUCUAAUUAGCAUCCAAACAUCCGAUGUGACAGGUGCUAAACUUUAACAGUGGGGAUCCAAACGGGGCCUAAGUCUGUGGUGCCCAACGAUCUCUUUCUUCUAACUCAUGCUUGACUGUGACGGUGCUAUUAUAUAUUAUUGCAUGAUCAUCAGGAUAAGAUCGUAUAGUGACUGAGUGAGACAUGUAUGUACUAACUUGCAUUUAUCCAAGAAGAGGCACAUGAGUAGUGGUGCAUGCAUCCACACCUUGGGAUGCUGCAAACUUUUAUGGGUCCAUAUGUAUAGCCAAGUAAACUAUUUUAUCCUGCUGCAAGCUGCAGACAUAAGUUUAUUUAACCUUUGUUCACAAUCACUUCCACUGUCGUCGCAAUUGCCAAAGACAAGCUCACCAAUGCUAUUGCGGAGCAGGCCAAUUUCCUGUGGAACUUCGGCGACGACCUGAAGGACAUGAACUCGGUGCUGGAGUCCAUCUCAGCAGCGCUCCAGGACGCUGACACCGGUAGAAAAACGACAUUCCAUCCUCAACAAAAAUCAUGGCAUCCUCUACUCAGUCAGAUGUACUGUGUAGGUGAGAUGGUAAGGAAGCUAUGCGCGAGGCUUAAGGUCGUGAGUUCGAAUCCCAUGCACCACGCACGCACGCGCAUAUUUCACGUGACUUGUGAUCCGCCAAGGAGAAAUGGGUGCAGCUGUUGCUUAAGUGCCUGAGGCACACUGCCAUAGACAUCUCGGAUUUGCUCGAAGAGUACCAAGAAACUAGGAACCCUUAACAGCAAAGGUGAGUACUUAUGUAUGUCAGCAUCUAUGUUGUCCAUGCUUCCAAUGCAAUAACACGAAGGACUACUCUUUCUAGCGGACUCUUCACAAUCACUCGUAAAGGUAUGCGUUUCUCAAUGCAAUUUCAUAGAAGGCAAUCGAUCCAACCAAGCGACUAAAUCAUUCGUCCUUGCCAAUGAUGUGCAUCAGGUUUUCUAUAUGAAGGGCAUGUCUAGCAAACCCAAGAUUUCAGAACAAAAGAAAAAUCAUGUGAGCCAAAGCGCCACAUUGUUCUUCCAAGUAAAAAACAUCAUGGGAGUCGAGAACAAAUCAGACCAAUCAAGGGAUUAUGGUCAGCUUGAUGGCAUGCCUCCAUUCGAUGUCGAAGUUGACCCAAGCAUCAUGUUAGCCAAAGAUCAAAUGUUCGUGCGUUGCUAUGGUAAAUAUCAAUUGUGUUUUUUAAACUCAUGGAUUUUUUUAUCUAAGUUUUUAUUACACUUAUUGGAUGUCUACACAUUUGCUAGAAAACCAAAAUAAUUUUGACUUAAUUAUUUCUUUCAACUCAAAUACUCAUUAAAUUUCUACGUUUUUAUUUAAGCAAGAGAGUUGCUACAAAAAAAUGGAUACGUAACCAUAUUGUAUCAUACAAAGCAACCACAUUUCACAUAUAGUCCGGCUUUGCAAACACCAUUGUUAUCUGAACAUAGCAUACAUGAGUUAGUAGACAUGGAUAUAUUUCUAAUUGCAAGUAGCAUACAACCAGCCUGCACCGACGCAGCUCAAUAUGCGAUAAUUUUUAUCUUCCCAUGUAAUUUUUCUACUCUAGUACAUAUUGAACUCCACAUAAAUGUGAUCUUUCACGCCACAGACGGUUCCUAAAGUUUGGAAACUAAAUAGAUAGCCAGAAAUUUUUUAGAAAGUAUUUAUAUGGAUACAUGUAUGUUCUUCGCAAACUAACAGUAUUGUUUACCAAUAUCAAAAGGAAUAUGGCUAGGAUCAUUGCCGCAUAUGGCAGGUGAUGGUAAAGUUAUCAACUGCAAAGUAUUAGGCCUCGUUGAGCUCUACAAUUUUGAUAUAAAGUUUCUAUUCAUCCGAGAUCAAAUGAAAAAGUUGGUACUCAAAACAUUCAUCCAUUAAUCUAGUCGUGCUAAUACUUAGCACUAAAUGAAAAACUAGCAUGUGUUGUGUGUUUGUGACCCUAAAUGAUCACAAAUGAAUAACUUAUGGGCGUUGCUAGCGCCCGGACGUAUGGUUCGGGGUGCUAGCAUCGGACGCACGAGCAGCCGUCCGAUCAGGUCCGACACCACUUCAGGAUCUGGCUCAAAAAAAAGUCCCACCGAAACAUUGUUCCAUGUUGCAUAAAAUAUCCCACUAUCCAUUGCUGGGUCUAGAGCAAGCACCAGCUUCCAAUAUGCUGCUCACCCAAGCUAAAUAGGGGCAUUAAAAUUGCAGAAAUAUGUCGCAUAUCCUUCUCAAAUUAAACUAAAUCACAACAUCCGAAAAUUUCUUACACAAAACCAUGAAACAUAUCGAUUAGAUAGGUGUAACAAGAUGAAAUAUGGUAUGCAACAUAUAGAUUCUGAAAAACAGAUGAAACAUUACUUAAUGAUUGUUGAAACAGUGGAGAAAAAUAGAUGUAACAUCUAAAAUUAAGAAAAGAAGCUUCAUGCAAAUUGCAAAAAGCUGAAAUAAGUGGUUGAAACAUUUCAAAUCACCAAAUGCCACAUUUGAAAUGACUAGAUGAAACAUCACAAAAUCAAUUGCAACAGUUGAAGAUGAAAACAUUCAAAUGCCUUGCCUUUCUCUAGAUUUGACCCUCAAGCAUGAGUCCAGCCAUUUGCACAUUAGACCCUUGGGAGGAGCUCACCGGAGAACAACAAGACCUUGUUCUCCAACAAUUUUCCGAUCAAAUUGCAACAUAAAAAAUAAAGCAUUGCAACAUCUGGCGGUAUCAUGAGCUACAACAUCAACCAGUUAGGAUCAGGAGAAAGACGGCAAACACAAGCCUAGCAAUGAGUUAUAUCCGGUUUAAACGAGGAUAAAAAUGAGUGUAUUUUCCACUCAUCAUGUUGUCUUUUCGCAGCUGUACCGCCUUUAGCUUGUUGUAUUGUUCCCCUAACACCAAGUCUCCGAGGUCCGUGAAAAUAAGGAAAGUGAUAGCAGCCCAGAAAUCGACCAAGUUUCUUUCCCCCUUUGGCUUUCCUACUAGGAUUCGGAAUCCUCUUUCGCAUGACAAUAUUAAUUAUCUCCCGUAGUCCAAAACUCACAAAAACAUUAAACAUCCUCCGAGAAUAAAUUAAGUAAAAAACAUGCACACACCAAUAAUAAUAAUAAUCUUGUUUCAAUAAAAUUGCUAAGGCCAGAGACAAUACAAAAACAUAUUAGACUGUUCAUGAAACAUAUCACGGUGGACAGUGUUUGUGUCCUUAUUACAAGCAGCGAGAGGAAUUAUAUAUGCUUGUCACCACACACGCGCGCGCACAGAUGCACGACAUACAUAUAGUUGAGACCAACAGAUGGAUCGACUAGAGGUGACCCCAUAUGGUGAACAAUUUAUUGGAGAUAAACAUUAACAUAACUUGGCCAUAGCUUGAAGCAUAGCAACAUAUGCGUAUGAAUGGCAUUGAUGCUAUCGUUUUAGGCUUGUCCAGAUAAUAAUAUCUGGUUUUAAGCAUAACAUGGUUUUUACUUAAUUUAUCUGUGCGUGCGAUAAUAAACCAGAUAAUAGCUUGAAACAUGUUGUGCAUUGGCACCACACGCACGAGAAUAAAUUAAGUAAAAAACAUGCACACAUAGAUAAUAAUAAUAAUCAAGUUUCAGUAAAAUUGCUAAGGCCAGAGACAAUACAUAAACAUAUUAGACUAUUCAUGACACAUAUCACGGUGGUCAGUGUCUGUGUCCUUGUUACAAGCAGCGAGAGAUGCUUGUCACCACACGCACGCGUGCACAGAUGCACAACAUACAUAUAGUUGAGGCUGCAAUUUAUAGGCAGCUGCGCUAUGUGAUGAUAUGGACAAGGUGCAAAUGGGUGGUCCUGAUAUGGAUAAGGUGCGAAUGGCUGUCUACUUGUAUUGUGUAGCUCCAAUGUACGUAUGUAUCUUAUACAUGUAUACAGUUGAUGGAUAAGGUAUACAGUCUUUGUUACCAAGUAAUUUUACUUUCGCACGUUUCAGCCGAGAGGCAGAAGAGAAUAUUUUACAGAGAGGGCAGAGAAGGAGGUUGGUAGGGUUCCCCGUGUCGCCAAGAUUUUUGCAUUUUACAUGUGUGUAUAGAUCACUUCGUCGUGCGGCGCCCUACUCCAGGUUGUACCCCAGCAGACCACGUUCUGUUUCUCUGCCUCCACAAGGACCACAAGACUUAGUAAAAAAAGCUAAACUUUGCAACACGAUGUAUACAGAAUUAGUAGCUAGAUCUAUAUAUGAAAUUCAUCCUAAAACUGAUAGGUGGAGAGAAGUAAAAAAUACCAAUUUGAUUUCCUAUCUGAUUAGAGGAAAUAUGGAUGGAUCGGUCGCAAUUAGCGAAGUGGCUCCAAUUGACAUAAAAGGUGUGCAUUGCAUUCAGCAAGAAAAAUUGAGUUUCUACUGAAUCUAUGAAAAAAAAUGAGCUUACGUUAUCAUAUAUAGGCAUAAAUUAAAAUGACAAGAAAUUCCAACCACGGUAUAUAAGACCAAUAAUUGGAAAGAUGGAUGAAAGGAAGAUAGGGUUUAAAUUAAAGUCUCCGCAUAGGCAGUUUGACUAUGAUCAAUUUUACCUGUAUUUCUCAAUAUGUAGAUAAUUCUAUGCCAACAAUUAAAAACUAAUACAUAAUUUGACACGGUGUACCUUGAGAACGUUUUGAAAAUGUACUCUCGUUAGGCGUUCACCUCCUUAACAAUAACUGCGACUGUAAAAUAGGUACAUCGACGCUAGCUAAAUAAACAACUAUAAGAUUUAGCAAGAGAUCAUUUUAUACAAUCCUGUAACGAAAGAAUUUGACAAUUAUAUUGUCCAUAUAUUUUGACGAAAAACAUCUAAAUUAUAUAAGGUGGGCCCGAAACAGUUGGAUUAGCAUAUGGUUACCCGUUUGUUGUCUUCCGGCCCUAAAAAAAGGACCAUCUUACUGAAAAAGGUUCUAUUAGCACAAGUAGAGAACUGACUUUCGAUGCACCCCCUUUUAUCCCGGUUUAAAGUAGGCCCGGGAGAAAAGGGGGUGCGCCAUGGUAGGCAAAAAUGGAGGGGAGAUUUACUCCCGGUUGGUAUUUGCAACCGGGACUAAAGGCCACCCUUUUGUCCCGGUUGGUGUUACCAACCGGGAUAAAUAGUUUACUCCCAGUUGGAGGUUCCAACCGGGACAAAAGGGCCACCAUUUUGUCGGCCCUUUUGUCCCGGUUGGAGCCUCAAACCGGGAGUAAACUUUCAACCGGGACAAAAGGUGUUUCUUUUUGUGUCGGUUGGAGUUUCUAACCGGGAUAAAAACUCAUCCCCAUUAUAUACCAAGACAGAGGUCUUUCUUCCUCCUCCAGCCCGAGCCAGUCCACCAUAAAGACAGAGAGCUCAGCUUCACCUACUCUCCGGUGGUGCCGAAGCAAGGGAGGUGCUGCCCGAAUUUUUUUUCCCUCAUUUUCGUGGGAAUUUCACUCAGCCAACACAAGUGUUGUGAAGGUUUGCUACUUCAUCCUCGUGUUACGCUUUAAUUUAUGCUUUGGAGAUGGAAAGUUUAUUUGCUAGAAUGUGAUGAAGUAGAAAAUGGAGAGGUACUUUGAGCUAGAAUGUGAGGGAGAUUGAUGUGUCAUAUAUAGUAUGUAUUCUUGCAGUGAUUUAAGAAUGAUGCUACCUUGUCUAGAUGGUUUAUCUUAUCAAAUUCAAUGUGGUUUUUCAAAUUCAUACUUAUUGAACUUGCAUACCGUGUUCAUGUCGGCGAGAAUGUUCUCCGCCGAGCAGCAACGUAUGUCAAGAAGGAGGUUUGAUUCUACGAGAAAGAGUGGAUACGGACAUCGUGACCGUAUCCCCUUUUUCGUAGAAUCGAACCUCUUUCAUGACGAAGUGCGGUGCCGCCCAGUUGAGAACAUGCUCGCCAGAUGAUCACGGUCUUCAAGUUCAACAAGUUCUGUAGGCAUACCGUGGUCAUCUCGGUAAGCAUGUUCUCCGUGGAGCAGCAACGGACGUCAAGGAGGAGGUUCGAUUUUACGAGAAAGAGAGGCAACAGACAUUGUGGAUGACUGUGUCCCCUUUCUCAUAAAAUCGAACCUCUUCCAUGACGAAGUACGGUGCCGCUCAGUUGAGAACAUGCUCACCGAGAUGAUCACGGUCUUCAAGUUCAACAAGUUCUGCAGUGCUAAGGUAAGAAUUUUUGUACAUAGAUGGCUUCUGCUACUAGAGGAAGUGGCGAUGGUGGGGGCGAUCGUCGUUCCUCUUUCGGCAAGGGGAAAAUCAUAGUUGGCCCUCAGGAUAAGCCGAAGAAAAUGAGCGCGUUGGAGAAAGCAAUGCUUCGUUAUUUGCAGAAACGUCAUGAAGAAGCUGUUGCCGCGGGUCAGGAACCUCCUUUUGGUGGUCGUUAUGCUCCACCCUCAGUCCCAGGUGUUUCACGUCCACUUAGUACUACCAUUUCAGGUGGCACAAAUAAACCACAGGAUGAGGCUGGGUCAGCGGAACCUUCAUCUUCACCGCCCAAGGAUGCUUAAAGUCCACCUAGAUAAUAACCAGUGGAUGACUUGUUGUAUUGUAUCAUGUUGUUUGGAUAUUUAAUUUAAAUAUGUGUAUUUGUAUCUAUAUCUAAACUUUCAGCAUUAUUUGCACUACAACGUUUGACAUGCUUUCAAUCAUGAAUCCAUUUUCAAGUGUAAUCAAUUUUCACGCGUAAUCCAUUUUCAAGUGUAAUCAAUUUUCACGCGUAAUCCAUUUUCAAGUGUAAUCAAUUUUCACGCGUAAUCCAUUUUCAAGUGUAAUCCAUUUUCAUGCGUAAUACGAUGCAGAUGGACCGGCAAUGGAUGUAUAAUGCAGACAGACGGAGCAAGGUGUUUAUUGAUGGCUUGCAUUAUUUUCUCGAAGUGGCCAAAGCGAACAAGCCAGAGAAUGGGUUCGUAUGUUGUCCAUGCUUCCAAUGCAAUAACAAGAAGGACUAUUCAAAGGAUUCCUGGGGGACUAUUCACAGCCACUUGUUUAGAUACGGUUUCAUGCCUAACUAUUUGGUUUGGACCAAGCACGGUGAAAGAGGGGUUGUAAUGGAAGAUGGUGAGGAGGAGGAGGAGGAUGGCAACAUUCCUGACUAGGUUGCAGGCCAAGCUUUUGCAGAUACUACAAUGGGCGAGGCUGAUGAAGAUGAGUUUGCAGAAAAUGGCCCUACGAUGACCUUGGUCAGGUGCUACGAGAUGCACACAGAGAUUGCGAAACUGAGAAGGAAGCAGCAAAGUUGCAGCGCAUGAUAGAUGAUCACCAAAAAUUGUUGUACCCAGAUUGCCAGCAGGGCCAUAAAAAACUAGGUACGACACUAGAAUUUGUGCAAUGGAAGGCAAAAAAUGUUGUGUCCGAUAAGGCAUUUCAGGGGAUGUUGAACAUUGUCUAGAAGAUCAGGCGAGAUGAUCCUGGUGAUGUCGAGGGGCAGUCUCCCAAGAAGAGAGUUCCCACGAAGGUGAUGUGGUAUUUCCCUAUAAUACCACGCUUGAAGCGCUUGUUCAGGAACAAGGCAAAUGCUAAGUUGAUGCGAUGGCACAAAGAAGAACAUAUGGAAGAUGAGAUGCUGAGACACCCCGUAGAUGGGGCCCAGUGGAGAUCAAUUGAUAGAGCAUUCCUGGACUUUGAAAGUGAAGCAAGGAACAUAAGGUUUGGUUUAAGUACUGAUGGAUUCAAUCCAUUCGGUGAGUUGAGUAGUGGCUAUAGUACUUGGCCUGUGACCCUAUGUAUGUUCAACCUUCCUUCUUGGCUGUGCAUGAAGCGGAAGUUUAUUAUGAUGCCGGCGCUUAUCCAAGGCCCAAAACAACCCGGCAAGGGAUAUGGAACAGAGGAGUUGAUCGAGUUUUGUGUUGAUUUUAUUGACUCAAUUGACUCGAUUGGGAUUCCAACUUCACGCCACGAGGGGAGGCUCCGGGGAAUGGGCACCCUUGGAAGGAAAUCAAGUUUGAGCAAUGAUACUGAUUUGUUCGACAAGGCACACUACACUGUUCUGCAAUAGUCAUCCUUUGUGUCUCCCUAUAUCGAGCAGCACAGGCAGAUGGUAGUUUUCCAAAAACCUGACGAAAUCCGAUGCUUGGCUUACACAUCAUCACAUGGAAACUUUUUCCUCCUGGUUGCGCCAACAACUCAUGGGUAACUCUGAGAUUUACCCACAGCUCGCUUGGUUAGCCAGGGGACCUGCUAGCACAAUCGUGAAAUUUCAAGACUAUGAGAUAAAUGGUUAUACAUUUUACACGAGAGCCUAGGACCAGAAAAGCACGAACAAGAAUAGUGGUGUCCGCAUAGAUGCCAUAGAUAGAAAUAAUAACAAGGAGUCGUAUUAUGGUUUCAUACAGGAGAUAUGGGAACUCGAAUACGGACCGCUGUACAUCCCUGUAUUUCUUUGCAAUUGGGUGAAGCUAACUGCCGUAACCAAAGAUCAGUACGGAAUGACAAUAGUAGAUCUGAGCAAGACUGGAUACAGUGAUGACCCAUUCGUACUUGCGAAUGAUGUGCAUCAGGUUUUCUAUGUGAAGGACAUGUCUAGCAAACCCAAGAGAAAUCCAGAAGAGACAUGGGAGCCAAAGUGCCACAUAGUUCUUCCAGGUAAAAGAAAAAAUCGUUGGAGUCGAGGAUAAAAUAGACCAAUCAGAUGAUUAUGAUCAGUUUGAUGGCAUGCCUCCAUUCGCAGUUGAAGUUGACCCAAGCAUCCUGGUAUCCAAAGAAGAGGCUCCAUACUUACGCCGGGAUCAUGAUCAAGGAACUUUCGUGAAGAAGAAAUUUUACAACGUUGUAUUGUAAUGCGCUAAAUUUACUUGACCUUUGUGAAGUACUUGAUACAAUUUUUAAUUUAACCUAUGUAUGAUUUCAUGUGUUCUUAAAUUUGUUGAGGUGAAGAUUUAUUAGAUAAACAUGAACAAUGUUAACCACAUACAUAUAUGGAUUUUUUUUGCGCGUUGAAAUUAUUUAAUUGAAUAAUUUCUCCAUCAUUGCGAUGUAGUAAAAUAAUUAUUUUAGAGGCUAAACGAACUGGUAUAGAAUUAAUGACUAAUUCACACUUAUUGUCAAUAUACUUGCUAAUUAAAUAUAUUUUUGCAUGUUCAAAAUAUGUGAAUUUUUUUGUUUUUGCAUCCUGAAAUGCAGUGAAAACAUACAUAAAAUCCUUUUCCAAAAAAUAGGCGGGAGAUGAAAGUGUGGGAAAAGGCCCUUUUGUCCCGGGUGCCAAUAGAAACCGGGACAAAAGGACCUUUUAUCCCUGUUGCCAACUACAACCGGGAUAAAAGGGUAGUUUUCGUUUCCCGCCGGGGACGUACCCUUUUAUCCCGGUUACAGUUAGCAACCGGGAUAAAAGGGGGGGCCCUUUUGUCCCGGUUGGUGUUGGCACCCGGGAUAAAAGGGCCUUUAGUCCCGGGUUCAAUUACGAACCGCGAUAAAAGCGGGGAGGGAUAAAAGGCACUGUAGCCUCUUCUACCACCACCCCACGCUAGUUACGACACUUAGCCAAAUUUUCACCGCUGCCAAGAUCCCGCGCCCUUCCGCCAGCUCCGUCACCGCCCAUCCGCCUCCCUCGCCGGCCGCCGUCGUCCUCGUCGUCCAUCGCCCCGGCCAUCAUCGUCCCGCCGCCCGACCGCCUCGCCCGCGCCCAGACCACCUCCUCCUCCAUCGCCCCGGCCCGCCUCCGAUCCUCCUCCGUCGUGCCCCCUCGACCUCGUCGCAGCCGGCCGCCUCCAUCGCGGGGCCUCGUCCCCGCCUCAGUCAACGCCACAUUCUCUGUCGCCGCCUCAUCACCGCCUCUGUCGCGCGCGCCGCCUCCGUCCCUCGUCGCCGUCCGCCUCCGCCCGUUGUUGCUGUGGCCACCUCGCUCCGUCCCCGCCUCCGCCGUCCCACCGCCCCGGCCGCCGCCGUCCCGCCGUCCCGGCCAUCUCGUCGCCCAGCUAGGCACCGCGUGAGGUCCGCCGGCACUGGCACCGGGAAUGAACAGCUCUUGCUGACGCAAACCCACCGGCUUGCGUAAGCAAGGACCUUUUUUAUUUUUUAGUUAGAAAAUGAAUAGAUAUUAGUAGAUUAGUUAGAAAAUCAAUAGAUAUUUGUAGAUUAGUUAGAAAAUCAAUAGAAAAUCAGUUGAUAAAUUUUGUAGAAAUUCAUUCAAAUUACUAGGAAUUAGUUGUAAUUUGCUAGAAAUUCCAAUAAAUAUGUUGAAAUAAGUAGAAAUUUGGUAGAAAUUCUUACAAAGUACUACUAAUUUGUUGAAAUUUGUAUAAACAUUCCGAACUCUGUGGGAUUCAUGUUAUUGUAAAAUUAUUAGGCAUUAGUAGAAAUUUUGUAGAAAUUCCAAUAAAUAUGUAGAAAUUAGUAGAAAUUUUGUAGAAAUUCUUACAAAGUACUACUAAUUUGUUAAAAUUUGUAUAAACAUCUCGGAUCAGCGCUUGGUUUGUUGAAAUUUGUAUAAACAUCUCGGAUCAGCGCUUGGGUUUUGUAAGUGUCCAUUUAUCUACAUGUAAAUUUUGCCUCAUAUCAUUAUUUUUUUUGCGUGCGUCACCGUACUAACUUCAUCUUCCAUUUUAUGUAUCAUGCUAAUUCAGAUGUGCCGACGAGAGGCGUACCUACAUAUUGGCUUCAUGGAUCCAUCCGUAGUUAACCAAAAACAGAUACAAUUAUCGCCGGAAAAAACCUUGGUGGAAGUAUACAAUUUCCUAGACAAACAAAAAUUCAAGGAUUUCAUACUACUUCCAUACAACUUCAAGUAAGUGUGUGUAUACCAUCUACUUUCGUUGUCUUUUUCCUUACCUGAUUAAUUAGUUAGCUCUAAUAUGCAUGAACAUUUUACGUACGCAGCUUCCACUGGAUCCUCAUUAUAAUUGAGCUUGAAAGAAGCCACGUCACUGUCUUCGAUUCGUUGAGGAAAGAUCCGGUGGAGUACCAAGACAUGCAAGACAUGCUAGGCUUGUAAUAAUUCUGGACCUUUAUCUCUAUGCAAAAGUUUGUUUCCUAAAUUUUAUCCCUGUUACACUAUAUCAUUCAUUAUUCUAAUCCGCAGCGCAUGGAAACAAUUCAUAAGGACACACAAAGGUCCAUUCAAAGAAAAACUUACAUGGAACACAGACUUCCCGGUACGUAUGAAGUCUGCACAUUUAGUACAUUGUAUAACACGAAUAUUUUAUAACUUAUUUUUUUCGACACUGAAGUCCUUAAGAUAGGAACUCGGGAAUAAUCUAUGUGGCUACUACAUCUGUGAGCACAUGCACAGUUUUAUGGGACCCAAGGGACUAAAGCUGACGCCGCACAACUUUAAAGUACGUAAAAUAAAACUACUACUAGUUAAUUAUUUUCUAGCUCCUUAUAUUUAAUUGUUCGUGUAACAUUCACAAAUUUCCAAAUUAUAGAUGUUAAAUAUUCAACAAGGACUCUUGAAGAAAAAAAAGGGUAGCGGCAAUAUGUGAAGGUCUCGUUGGAUUCCUAAUGGACGAUGUAGUAAAUGCACAAGGAGAAUUUUAUUACGAUGGACGACAAUUAGACGCUCCGAGCAACACCUCGACGGGAAGAUUGUAGAUAUAUAGUUUGAUUUGUAUACAUAACACGCGCUAAGAUCGAUUUGUAUAUAUAGUUGAUUUCAUUAUACUAGUUGAAUUAUGUAUAUGAAUUGUGUAUAUAUAGUAAUUGUAUAAUUACAAAUUUCAUUCGUUUAAAUACUAGUUGAUUUCAUUAUAAAAAAAGUCUCAACUACUAAAGGUUAACAAAAGGGCCGCGGUACUACGUACGUGAUGCAUGAAAAUUUCAGAUGCCAUGCAGGAAAAUUUAAAUAGGACUUUAGUCCCGGUUGGGAAACCCAACCGGGACUAAAGGGGCACCCUUUACUCCCGGUUGCUUUUACCAACCGGGAGUAAAGGGCCUGUCCCGCGCCAACCGGGACUAAAGGGUGACCUUUACUCCCAGUUGAAGGACCCGGGACUAAAGACCCCCCCUUUUGUCCCGGUUGGUUUAUCCCGGAUGGAUUUUCGAGAGAUAUGCACCCUACCAACCGGGACUAAAGGCGAGUUCUCUACUAGUGUAGGCCAUGCAGCCGGCUCUGUGGUACCAAAAAGAAAUUUUUGACAUGGUUUACAUCGAGAACGUUUUGAAACUAGACUUUGGUACGCAGUUCACCUUCUUAACAAUAACGGCGUACAUAGACGCUAUCUAAAUUGACCACUUUAAGAUUUAGCGAGAGAUCUAUUUUUUUAAUCCCGUAGCGAGAUCUAUUUUUAUAAUCGCGUAGCGACUGUACGAAGGACUGAAAAAUAAGUUUGAUUACCGUAUAUAGUUAGCCAACUCGUUAAUGGAAUAAACGAUAGAGUUCUGCGAGGCAGACUAGCCUUUCACACGCACCAACUGAACCAGCUGGCAUGAUGUAUUUGAUCUUACUCCCUUGGUCCCAUGGAAAGGUAGAAAUAACCAUAUAUAGGCAUGUAAUUAUCAGUUAUACUUAUGGGAUACUUAGAUGACUUGAUGUAUGAAUCAAGAAAAUGCAUCGAUCGAGAACUUACGGGGAUCAUCUCAAUAAUUUAGAGACCAUGCGCAUAUAUAUUGUGGAAGGUGUGCGUGAGGGUCGUUAUCUAUAUCCUGUGUUAGAAAAAGAUUGCAUAUAUAGUUAAUGUUUGUCUUUCUUCGGAUGGCACGUUAGCUGACCAUUGACAACAUGUGAUGAUUUUACUAACAUCAAAAUUAGGCAUGCCCCAUUUUUUAAUUGGUGCAUGGAGUGGGAGGUUUUGGUGGGUGAGCAUUGGUGUGCAACUCGUGUGCGUGAGCAUGUGUGCGUAAGAUAAUGUGUUUUGUUAGAAAAAGAAGAUAAUGCCUCUAAACAAUCCAGAAUAGAAGGCGGGCCCUGACGACAAGAUAAUACCUUACGCGGCGAUGUCUCAACGUGUCACCUGGGGCGGCUUUUGCAGUUUCCCCGUACACACACUAAGAGCCUCCGACCCUUUUUUGUCAAACCUUCUCUUGUAGUCAUGCAUAUAUCCAUGAUGAUUUGAGUCUACUGAUUGACAGUUAGAUAUUUUGCUUGUUUGUGAGAAUUUUUAGUUUCUAUUUUUUUAGAGUGUCCACCUAGGAUCCUAGGUGGCUUCACCUGAAAGCUUCAAAAGAAGCGUCCAAAUUAGUAAUCAUAAGAUUUUCUCAAAAGAGACUUAAUUCUACCACUAUACCUUGAUUGGCGGCCCGAGCCUCUACCUUUGUCUCCACUUGACUAUUUGAGUUGGCUCAGAACGGUUCACCGCGCUAGCAACGUUACGUUUGAUCCCAAUGCCACCACUCAUGUGCGCCACCUGUAUCUACCAAGUGGCAUGUGGUAAUGCCAUGUUUGUUUUAAUUUCGUCCAUCAGCAUUCACAAUGAUAUCAUCACCAUUAUGUAAUUAUCCCACUUUUAAUUUUCUUGCAACUCUGUGAAGUUAACAGUCUCUGAUCAAGUUUCCGAGGAUUGCUAUAUCUUUGUUUAUUAUCUACGGAAGUUGACAGCACAUCCACCAUAAUUCAUGGCCCACCAGACUCUAAGUCCACUGCGAGUAUAUAUUAAUUUGUUUUAAUCCGACUAUACUAGAUGUGUACCAAUCAUUCGAUAUGAGGGACGAACUAAUUGUUUCUUGUCGACUAUUGCACCGUACCUCUCGUUUUCCAAACAAUUAAAAGGUACCCUUCCGUGAUGGUUGUACCGAUACCGACUAUCUAUAUUAUUGCUUUCUUGAGCAUACCAAACGAGUUAAUUGGUAUGAUGAUGUUAUAGCUCAUUUAUAUAUGCUUAAAUACAUACACCGGUAGAAAACUCGCCUUUAGUCUCGGUUGGUACGUGUUAGACACCUAAUCCUUGCAUUGAUGGCUAAUCCUUCCAGCUUUUGUCUUCACGCACGCAUGCAUUGAUAGCCUCCUGCGGAUGGCCUUUCAGCUACUGCGCCGUUCAACUUCUGUGGCCUGUCCGGCUUCUUCCUUUCCCCAUAUAAUGUAAUACGUUCAACUCAAAUGAAUGAAAUCAAAUUAUGCGUGUAUUAUUCUCGCUUUCAGUAGGGGCCAAAUCUCCCGAAAAUCCAUCCGGGAUAAAGAUGAGAAAUUAAUCCAUGCGUGGCUUCAUGCAAAUUUGUUCAGAUCAGGUUUGAACAGCAUGUAAUCUUUUUCAGGCAUCUAUAUGGAGCGUGGGUGUGUUAUGUUAUCUUCUACUACACAUAUAACAUUAAAUUCAUUCAGUUUGGCUGAGAGCCCAAAAUGCAACGAAUAUGCCAUCCAACGUGAAAAAAAGAUGUGGAACAGUAUACUCUAUCUUCGAAAUUAAUUAACGAGAUUCAGCUUCAAAAGAGAUAAGAGCAGACAAGAGGCACAUGGGUGCAUGCAUCCACACCUUGGGAUGCUGCAAAAUUUGGGAUCACGUGUGCGGAUCCCUAAUUAGGAAAAAAGAAUAAUUGUGCUAGCAAAAUGUGGAACACGACUGCCGGCCCAGUUGGCGCUAAGACAUCGUACGUGCAUUAAGUCUGAGGUGCCCAACGAUCUCUUUCUUUAACUCAUGCUUGACUGUGACGGUGCUAUUAUAUAAUAUUGCAUGAUCAUCAUGAUAAGAUCGUAUAGUGACUGAGUGAGACAUGUACUAUAACUUGCAUUUAAGCCUCGAACUGUGUGUCGUUACGUGAGCUGCCUCCUCUCCUCGCCUCUGAAUUAUUGAACCGUUUCCAACAGUGUUGGUCUCGACGAAAUUUGACGCCAACCAGAUUUAUGAAGAAAAGAGAAUAAUACUUGGAAUUGGGAAAAGUUGAUCUCUCUUUACAAUGGGUAGGUGCUCCCCUUUUAUAGUGACCCAUGAGCCACUUUACAUUCCGAAAAUAUCCUUUCUCAACCACUACAUUCCUAGGAUAUGCCGUACAAAUUGAACUCUUCCACGUGGUCACAUUUCUCACACCUCCUGUUUUCCAACCUCAAGACUUCAUCUUCACGCCAAGUUGAUCAUCUAGCCUCGAGGCUCCAUCCACGAUCUGGAAUGAACGUCCAGCUCGAGGCUCCUGCUUGUUAGAAGAACCGUCGUAUGAGACGAGGAUUGUAUCUUAGAGAUAAGAGUUGUUAUGGUUUGAGUUGGCCGGCUAGUAGAUAGAGAUAGAAUCUUGAUGUAUUUGAAUGCUGGCUAAACUUUAUCUAUAACAACAUGCAUUGUAAUCUGUUGGGACUUUCCCCCUAUAUAAACGUGCAACCACGGCGAGCCAAGAUAGGGCAACCGUGUUCAACUCUUUUGACAUGGUAAUCAGAGCCUUUCUUCCAUAAAAUACAUCUACAUCUACACCACCUGGCGCACGCCACCUUGCAUGCAACAGUCAUGGUGUCAUCAUCGUCGUUGUCAGCCACUACGCCCACGGCGGCGCAGCUUGGAGCUCCUGUAGCUGAAAAGCUUACAGGGGAGAAUUAUGUCUUAUGGAAGGCUCAAUUCUUGCCUGCUGUGCGGGGUGCGCAGCUCAUGGGAGUCCUCAACGGAUCUGUCAAGGAGCCGGCCAAGACCAUGGAACUGGUGAAGGCUGACGGCAAGAAAGGGUAGCAUGACUUCAUCAACUUACUACACCAAGAUGUCUUAGCUGGGCUCUAGCCCCGAUCUUGCCAUGCGCUCCGCGAGCUCCAGUGCGUUGUCGACAAGCCUGAGCCGCGUGCAGCACAUGAGCACCGCGUUCCACACGACCGCCGUGGCCUCCAUCGUCUCAGCACCCAUGUGGCCACAGCCACGUCCGUGUUCUCGACGUACAUGCCGGCGAGGAACCCGGGAACGAGCGGGUGCGCGUCGACGUGGUGGGGAGCGUGGCAGCGGCAGCUUUGCUCGAUCUGGCGGCCGGAGAGUGGGACGAGACCACCACGGGGGAGACGGUCGGUGGUGGUGGCGGUGGCAAUGGGAGGAAGGCCUUGGAGAUCAAGGGAUCCAAGGGCCCCUUCCAAGAGAGAAGGGAGAUCGGGGGAGGAGACCGAUGGAGGGGAGGCGGGAGGGAGGAUCGCCGGCAGCGGGGGUAAGGAGAAAGAACAGGCGCGCGGGAGGGAGUCACGGUGCCGGAGACUCGGGAGAAAAGAAGCGAAUCAUUUUUGUGUAACCAGUGGUAUUGGUAGGUAAUUACCCACCAACUCCACGAGGAGGUUCAUAUUGGGUAGUUUUGGAGUUGCAAAAGAGGUGCUCCAAAACUCCACCCCCAUUUGCACUACAGCUCCAUGGAGUUUUGGAGUUGGGGUGUUUGGCUGUAAAAUUGGCUAGAGUUGUUGGAGGUCAGCUCCAGAGCCAUGCCAAACACGCCCUAAGGAUCAGGAAACGAGGAAAAUCCUUCAUCAAGGUAGAUGCAAAAGCGGGCCUUUAUCCAUUAGAAUCCAUCUUGUCAGAAGAAGGCGAUGACAAGAGAGUUUAUGGUGCCAUCAAACCAUCUGCUUCUAGAUGGCAUAGCCGCUUAGGCCAUCCAGCUUAUCCUAUUAUUCAGCGUGUGCUUAAUCAUCAUAAUCUUCCUUGUGGUAGUACUAAUUUUGAGUCAGUUUGUGAUUCAUGUCAAAUGGCUAAAAGCCAUCAACUUCCAUAUUCUAGUUCAAUAAAUUCGUCAAAAGCUUCGCUUGAUCUUAUUCAUUCUGAUGUUUGGGGGCCUGCACCUAAUUCUGUUGGUCGAUAUUCCUACUAUGUGAGCUUUAUUGAUGAUUAUAGUAGGUUCACCUAGAUUUAUCUCCUGAAAAAGAAAUUUGAUGUCUUUCAAGUGUUCAAAGAAUUUCAGAAUCUAGUGGAGCGAAAACACAAUAAGAAAACUGUAUCCAUGCAAACUGACUGGGGAGGCGAAUAUGAGAAGUUGAAUUCCUUCUUUCAGCAAAUUGGUAUAGCACAUCGCGUCUCAUGUCCUCAUGCCCACCAGCAAAAUGGCCUCGUCGAGAGAAAGCAUCGUCAUACUGUUGAAGUUGGUCUCGCUCUUCUCGCAAAUGCUUCAAUGCCUUUAAAAUUUUGGGAUCAAGCUUUUUUGACGGCCACUUAUCUCAUUAAUAUGCUUCCCAGUAAAAUUCUUAAUUUUGAUACUCCUACAGAACGCUUGCUCCAAGAAAAGCCUCAUUACAGCUCUCGUCGCAUUUUGGGGUGCGCUUGUUGGCCUAAUUUGUGACCCUAUAAUACUCACAAGCUAGCUUUUCGUUCCGUUAAAUGCACCUUUCCUAGUUACAGUUUCAUGCAUAAAGGCUUCAAGUGCUUAGAUCCCUCUACCGGCAGAAUUUAUAUCUCCCGAGAUGUUGUUUCGAUGAAUCGAUCUUUCCGUUUGCUCACUUACAUCCCAAUGCAGGCGCCCUUCUCAGUAAAGAGAUUCUUCUUUUACCUGACCAUCUUCGUAAUCCGGGGGAUGUAAGUUGCAUAGACAAUAUUACUAUACUACUGACCGUUUGCAUGAUAGCAAUGCGCAAGAUGUUUUUCAGGGGAAACUGUCACCGGGCUGGGCGCACGGUGACGCAGAAAAUCACGGCGGCACAUUCCAGGAGGAUUUGAUGCCAGGUGCCGACGGUCCAGGCGCUGACUCCCAGGGAGAUUCGGCGGCAGCAUCCGUUUUGCUCCCCUCCUUCCCAGCAAUGCCCAUCUCGCCGAAUACAUCUCCAACGCGUGGCUCCACGACAUGCCCAGCGCCCGCACCCGGCACUCCUCCGUCGCCGCAUGGCCCCGCACCUGGCCAAUCGCCUGCGCUAGCCGCCGGGAGUCCGACGCGUGGGGGGGGGGGUACCCAUCUAUCGCGCCAGACAGUCUCCCACCCGUGCCUGCUGCCCCGAAUCGUGCUAGCGCUGGAUCCUCUGCGGGAAGCAGAUCCGGUGUGGAAUCUAUGCCUGGUCAGGCCAGUUCUUUGGCGCUGGCUGCCCCUGCACCGUCUGUUUCACUGCCAAGACAACGGACACGGCUUCAAAGUGGAUUACGAAACCUACAUAGUUCCAGGACAUGAUCAGGUAUGGGUUGUUCUUAGCUUCUGCGGAACCACAGGAUUUUCAUGAAGCUCUAAAUGAUUAUAGAUGGAAAAAAGGCUAUGCAAGAUGAAUUUGAUGCUCUCAUUAGAAAUCAAACUUGGCACUUAGUUCCUGAAAUAAAGGGUAACAAUAUUAUUGAUUGCAAGUGGGUAUUCAAAAUCAAGAAAAAAUCAGAUGGUACCAUAGAUAGAUAUAAAGCAAGGCUAGUUGCAAAGGGUUUUCAGCAACGGUAUGGCAUUGAUUAUGAGGAUACUUUCAGUCCAGUGGUUAAGAUUGCAACUGUCAGGCUUGUCCUCUCAAUUGCUAUUUCGAAAGGGUGGUGUCCAAGAUAGUUAGAUGUAUAGAAUGUGUUUCUUCAUGGUGUUCUGGAAGAAGAAGUUUAUAUGAGGCAACCUGCAGGAUUUGAAAAAGGAGCUUUGCAUCUUGUGUGCAAAUUGGACAAGGCUAUCUACGGCUUGAAACAAGCCCCGCGAGCUUGGUAUGCUAAGUUAUGUUCCAAACUUAUUGCACUUGGAUUUGUUGCAUCUAUAUCAGACACUUCGUUAUUCAUCUAUCAAAGAUUGGGUGUCAUAAUUUAUAUGUUGAUUUAUGUUGAUGAUAUAAUUGUGACAAGUUCGUCAAGUGAAGCUGUUACGACGUUGCUUGCUGAUCUCAAGAAGGAUUUUGCUCUAAAAGAUCUGGGGGACCUCAGUUACUUCCUGGGUAUUGAAAUUAAAAGAGAAAAGAAUACUCUGCUGCUAACACAAGAAAAGUAUGCAAAGGAGAUUUUGUCACGGGUUGGUAUGGAGAAUUGCAAACCAUCAUCUACACCAUUGUCUACUAGUGAGAAACUUUCAAAGUAUGAAGGGGAGUUGCUGAAUUCAAGCGGUAGUACGAGGUACAGAAGCGUCGUUGGUGCAUUGCAAUAUCUCACUCCUACCUGACCGGAUCUAGCAUUCUCUGUGAACAAAGUGUGUCAAUUUCUACAUGCUCCUACCACGGUUCAUUGGACUGCUGUAAAAAGGAUACUUCGGUAUGUCAAGUUCACAUUGGAUCUUGGACUAAAUUUUCAGGCGUCAUCCUCCACCUUGGUUAUUGCUUUCUGUGAUGCUGAUUGGGCAGGAAGUGUUGAUGAUAGAAGAUCUAUCGGAGGGUUUGCAGUUUUCUUUGGUCUGAACUUGAUUUCUUAGAGUGCUAGAAACCAAGCCACUAUCUCAAGAUCAAGUACAGAAGUUGAAUACAAGUCUAUGGCAAAUGCAACUGCAGAGUUAAUAUGGUUGGAAUCCUUGCUAAAGGAGCUGGGUAUACGGCUGCAUCAACCACCAUGUUUACAGUGUGACAAUUUGGGAGCUACAUAUUUGUCUGCCAAUCCAGUCUUUCAUGCGAGAGCAAAGCAUAUAGAAAUUGAUUUUCACUUUGUUCGCGAGCGUGUGGUUAAUAAAAAGCUGCAGGUGCUGUUGGUUGCUUCCAGAGACCAGCUUGCGGACUGUUUACCAAAGCCUUGCCGUGCGGAUUGCUGGAAGCUUUCAAGAGCAAUCUAAAUAUCAAAAGGAAGAGAAGUUUAGAUUGAGAGGGACUGUUAGAAGAACCGUCGUAUGAGACGAUGAUUGUAUCUUAGAGAUAAGAGUUGUUAUGGUUUGAGUUGGCCGGCUAGUAGAUAGAGAUAGAAUCUUGAUGUAUUUGAAUGCUGGUUAACUCUAUCUGUAACAACAUGCAUUGUAAUCUAUUGGGACCUUCCCCCUAUAUAAACGUGCAACCACGGUGAGCCAAGAUAGGGCAACCGUGUUCAACUCUUUUGACACUGCUUCGUUAAGCUUUGUUGAGAACUCAUAAACUCACAUAGUUCUCCUUUGAGUAUUGUUCCUAACUAAAGAGUAAACAGGUAAAAGCUCGGUGCCCGGAACCGACUCAGAACACUCGAGGCUUAACUUAGUUGGAGUUUAGCUAUUACCAUUGCCAGUGACCAGCCUCGAGCCCCUCUAGAAGCAAGGUGAUGCGAGGGUGCGAGUUUUACUAUAAGAGGUGUCCCUAUAGAACGUGCGAGGUUAAAGGUGUUCCGUUACUUUUCCUGCCGACGCAUAACUUGCAAGGUUAAGGGGUUUUUAUCCCACAAACGGUGCUCCAGGAUGUUCAGAUUUUUGGGAUCCCCAACAAACAGCAAUCUUGAGUGGCUCUAAAUUGUUGUUGGCCACAUCAUACCUUGUCUUGGGCUGCUGGGUCGUGUUGUGCACCACGAGUGCACGAUCAGACAUCCUGCACUGUUAAGUCUUCGAUGAUACGGCUGCCUUGCUUCCUCAGCUUGUCAGCAACUGCUUCUUGACUGCUACAGUACAAUUAUUGCAUGGUAUCAAGGUAAUAUAUAUAGUGACUGAAUGAGCACAUAUAACAUAUGCAUUUAGGCCUCCAACUGGUCAUUGCACGAGCUGCCUCCUCUCCUUACCUCUGAAUUAUGGAGCCAUAUCCAACAACAACCUUGACAGUGAUGAUGAUGACGACGAUGAUGAAAUUAAGAAAAGAAGCUUUAUGCAAAUUGCAAAAAGCUGAAAAAGUGGUUGAAACAUUUCAAAUCACCAAAUGCCACAUUUGAAAUGACUAGAUGAAACAUCACGAAAUCAAUUGCAACAGUUGAAGAUGAAAACAUUCAAACGCCUUGCCUUUCUCCAGAUUUGACCCUCCAAGCAUAUAUGAGUCCAGCCAUUUGCACAUUAGACCCUUGGGAGGAGCUCACCGGAGAACAACAAGACCGUGUUCUCCAACAAUUUUCCGAUCAAAUUGCAACAUAAAAAAGAAAGCAUUGCAACACAUCUGGCAUCGCGAGCUACAACAUCAACCAGUUAGGAUUAGGAGAAAGAGGGCAAACCCAAGCCUAGCAAUGAGUUAUAUCCGGUUUAAACGAGGAUAAAAAUGAGUGUAUUUUCCACUCAUCAUGUUGUCUUUUCGCAGCUGUACCGCCUUUAGUAUGUUGUAUUGUUCCCCUAACACCAAGUCUCCGAGGCCCGAGAAAAUAAGGAAAGUGAUAGCAGCCCAGAAAUCGACCAAGUUUCUUUCCCCCUUUGGCAUUCCUACUAGGAUUCGGAAUACUCUUUCGCAUGACAAUCAUAAUUAUCUCCCAUAAUCCAAAACUCACAAAAACAUCAAAAAUCCGCCGAGAAUAAAUUAAGUAAAAAACAUGCACAAACAAAUAAUAAUAAUAAUCAUGUUUCAAUAAAAUUGCUAAGGCCAGAGACAAUACAUAAACAUAUUAGACUGUUCAUGACACAUAUCACGGUGGACAGUGUCUAUGUCCUUAUUACAAGCAGCGAGAGGAAUUAAAUAUGCUUGACACCACACACACGAGCGCACAGAUGCACGACACACAUAUAGUUGAGACCAACAGAUGGACCUCGACUAGAGGUCGCCUCAUAUGGUGAACAAUUUAUUGGAGAUAAACAUGAACAUAACUUGGCCAUAGCUUGAAGCAUAGCAACAUAUGCCUAUGAAUGGCAUUCAUGCUGGUAGCAAUGCAAUCAUAUCGUUUUAGGCUUGUCCAGCUUCUUCCAUCUUAGCAAGCACUGCCAUUUCUUCCAUCUUAGCAGCAACUGUCAAAUUGAGAUAUGGUAUCCCAUUAGCGUAUGAGUUAAUUUUGCACUGGAAAUAGAGUACAAGAUGUCUUCAUGAUGUAAGUAAUAUGCCUGAAGUUGUGAGAUGGGAAGUGAAGUCAACAAAUUACAUUAACGGAAAUGCAUGGAAGGCCACACAUACGUAUUAGUCCACGAUAUGCUACAAAGCUUGUAUGUACAUAUAACAAAUUAAAUGCAUUGAAUAGAGUGAGUUUACUGAAUUUACCAGAAUCGGACAGAACACAUGGGAAACAGCAAGUGUUCUUGCAGAGUGAGUCGGAGCCACCUGCAGUAAUACAAGCAAAACAACAUGCUUUUGCCCGGGCGGAUACGCAGCAGCUGCACUGUGCCGCGGUGGCCGGGUUAACAUUGAGGCUCAAGAUGACCAGGCACAUGAUCACCAUCAAAGCGGUAGUCCUCUUUCCCUCCAUUGCCUCCUCUUGCUGCUACCUUCCUUGGUUACCUAGCUAAGUUUAUUGGUUUUGUGUUGAGAGGUGAUUCUUGAAUGGACGUUGCCGGCUGCAAUUUAUAGGCAGCUGCGCUAUGUGAUGAUAUGGACAAGGUGCAAAUGGGUGGUCCAAUGGCAAGGAAAGGGGGUAUUCUGCUUGACAUUGGCAUCAGACAAAGCCCAAUGGCAACUGCUGACACGCGAUUAAAAUCAGAUCCACAUCUUAUCCAGCCAUUCACUAAUAAUUAAACUAAACCCACGCGGUCCGCGAGAUGCAGCGUCCAUGCAUAGCACUUCCCGCAAACAAUAGGAAAAAUUAGAAUUCAGAGAUAGCAGCUGCUUGCAUGAAACACGGUUGCACAGAAAUCAGUGGUGCUUGGACGGUAAGUAGUGUGGUGUACAAGCUUAAAGCGGCAGUGAGUCACGUUGGUGUAACAAGCAGUACAUCAGCUGGAAGAUUGAUAUGUCUAUUGCCCACGCAGCAUAGCAUUUUAUUAUGAUACAUUGAGUUAUGUCAUAUUGUUACUUUAAGUUAUUUUUUAAGUAUUAGUUGUAGACAAUUUAGUUGCAAAUUUAAGCGGUUAUUUUAAAUUAUUUUUUAUAAUGGAAUAAGUGGGUAAUUUAGAUGAAGAUUAGGGGGUUACUUUAGCUUAUUUUAUAUAAUAGCAGAGGUGGGUAAUUUAGAUAUAAAUUUAGACACGUUUAACAAAAUGUAUCUACAGUUUCUGACACGGUCCGUGUGGAGACGCUCCAGACAUGCUUUACUCAAGCGCAUCUAUACUUCAGUAGAAAUGAAAUAAAGCGUAUCUAACAUAGGAAUAAAGUGUAUCUAGAGGAGGUUUUUCUUGUAGCGAGGGAUGAACCAUUAUUGGACGAACUGGCACACUUGCUUCUACCCGCUCCCCCACACCCCACAACCGCCCCCAGUGUGAGCGUCCAAGUCUCGAUCGUUGCUCGCGUUAAGCGGUGCCGCCGCACUGCACCACAGCGACAGAAGCCACACCACCGGCUGCAUGUGACAGCGGGGAGCACCCUCACCACCUGCCCGCGGGGAGCGCUUACGCCAGCCAUAGUGUCCCCGUAGAACCGCCACGCGAGCAUGUGAGCCACCGACCGCCGUGCCCCCAAGGGCCAUCACCGCGCUACCCGAGGAUGUUGUCUACCCGGUGCCACGCGCCUCUGCUAGGUGCCUGCACCUGGGCCGCCACCGGUCGCCUGCACAGCCACGUGUUGCAGCUGCCCCCUGCGCUGAGCCACCCCAUUAAACGUUGGAAGAACCACCUGAGUCUCGCACGCCGAGGUCUUGCUGGUGACGACCAUGGCCUCCGCGAUCAUAUGAAAAAGUUGUCAACUACAAAGUAUUAGGCCUCGUCGAGCUCUACAAUUUUGAUCGAAAGUUUCUAUUCAUCCGAGAUCAAAUGAAAAAGUUGGUACUCAAAAUAUACAUCCAUUAAUCUAGUCGUGCUAAUCCUUACCACAAAUUAAAAAACUAGCAUGUGUCGUGUGUUUGUGACCCUAAACAAUCACAAACGAAUAACUUAUCAACUUCAAAAUUUAGCUGAUCAGGAGUCUAGGCAACCUCAAGGGUAUAAAUAUGUGCACCCUGAGGCUUGCAAGAUUUUAUCUCUCGAUUAAUCAAUGCAAUUUUUGGGCGCCACGCAGCCAAACCCUUAGGAGUAGAAGUAACGUAGCUUUUUGAUGAGUAUCUUCUUGCGCGCAGGGCUGCAUCAGCUUCGAUAUCCGACGAACUUGUAAGUACCGUCAUCCGGUCAUUACGUUAUCUAUAUUAAAAGUUUCUAGGCAUCAUCCAAUAUUCUAAUCUUUUAUCGUGUGGCUAAUUAUCGAGUUAUCUUAUAUUGUAAAUAAAACUUGCUAGGGUUUGUCCAAUAUUCCAUUUGUUUUCAGCGUUACUGCUUAAUUAGAUCUGCUUAGGUUGUUCUCAUCGGCUUCUAGUCUUGUUUAAACGUUCACAAGUUAUUUGAUCGUAUCGGCAAGUUCGACCUUGCAUGCUUUUAUCGCUUUAUCUAUACUAGGUCCGAUAGAUCUUUACCCCUUCCCCUUGUAUUGCUAGCAGUUGGAUCCAUAACGUUAGAACGAUACUGUUGAGAGCUGAUGCAUUGAUUUAGUAUCAUCCAUAUCUCAUAGAAUGUAUCAUGGUUAAUGGCAAUUUAAUGAAAUUAUAAAGGAUAAUAACAAUCGUGCUUUCGGCGUUCCAAAAAUCAAUCAAGAAUUCAUCAUGGUUGUGCAGUGUAUGGAAACCUUAUGGUAAUAGUUAGAUGGGAAAUGUUGUAUUAUGUAAUAAAUCCAGGUACUUCACAAAUCAUGAUCGAUGGAUGUCUAACACUGUUGAAAGAGAUUGGAAUAAAGCAGACUCACCUCAGACUAUGCACCAUGUCUGAGUGACCCACCUCACCUUGCCAGGUCACUGGUCUUGCCAGCACACAAGCUAUGAUGUUGCCAGGAGUGGUCAGUACACAAAUCUAGCUACCAGUCGGAUCGAAGGGCAGGCAUUUGCAUUGUGGUUGUGCUUGAACAUGGAGAUGUCUUGCGAUUGUCACGCACCAUACAUCCUCUCUCAGUUUCACUCCGCCUCACACACGGAUAGGACACCAGGGACCCGACACCAUGCAUGCCGAUUUCAUAUUAUUAAUAUUUAUUUUUUGAAUGGUUGUUGAAACUAUAUAUAUAGUUAGUCCAAUCUCACGUUUCCGAUUAUAAAAAUUAACAUAAAGAGAUCGGAAGGGAGAGCACUAGAGCCGGCAUUUAUACAAACUGGUAUGAAUAGUAAAAUCUAGAAUUCAUAAAUAAAAAAAUGAUUUGCACAUCUAUGCAAUAAUUAGUGGUUAGUGGUAGGUCUAGAGAGAUAUCUCAUCAAAUCGAUGAGUUAUAUCCGGUUUAAACGAGGAUAAAAAUGAGUGUAGUCUUUUCGCAGCUGUACCGCCUUUCCUUUCGUGUGUUCUAUUGUUCCCCUAACACCAAGUCUCCAAGACUCAAGAAAAUAAGGAAAGUGAUAGCAGCCUAGAAAUCGACCAAGUUUCUUUCCCCCUUUGGCUUUUCUACUAGGAUUCGGAAUCCUCUUUCGCAUGACAAUCUUAAUUAUCUCCCAUAGUUCAAAACUCACAAAACUAUCAAAAAUCCACCGAGAAUAAAUUAUGUAAAAACAUGCACACACAGAUAAUAAUAAUAAUAAUCAUGUUUCAAUAAAAUUUCUAAGGCUAGAGACAAUACAUAAACAUAUUAGACUAUUCAUGACACAUAUCACAGUGGACAGUGUCAGUAUCCUUAUUACAAGCAGCGAGAGAUGCUUGUCACCACACACACGCGUGCACAGAUGCACGACAUACAU
rnacentral:lncRNA from 1 species